rnacentral:rRNA from 1 species
AGAGUUUGAUCCUGGCUCAGAUUGAACGCUGGCGGCAUGCUUUACACAUGCAAGUCGGACGGCAGCACAGGGAAGCUUGCUUCUCGGGUGGCGAGUGGCGAACGGGUGAGUAACAUAUCGGAACGUACCGGGUAGCGGGGGAUAACUGAUCGAAAGAUCAGCUAAUACCGCAUACGUCUUGAGAGGGAAAGCAGGGGACCUUCGGGCCUUGCGCUAUCCGAGCGGCCGAUAUCUGAUUAGCUGGUUGGCGGGGUAAAGGGCCCACCAAGGCGACGAUCAGUAGCGGGUCUGAGAGGAUGAUCCGCCACACUGGGACUGAGACACGGCCCAGACUCCUACGGGAGGCAGCAGUGGGGAAUUUUGGACAAUGGGCGCAAGCCUGAUCCAGCCAUGCCGCGUGUCUGAAGAAGGCCUUCGGGUUGUAAAGGACUUUUGUCAGGGAAGAAAAGGCCGUUGCCAAUAUCGGCGGCCGAUGACGGUACCUGAAGAAUAAGCACCGGCUAACUACGUGCCAGCAGCCGCGGUAAUACGUAGGGUGCGAGCGUUAAUCGGAAUUACUGGGCGUAAAGCGGGCGCAGACGGUUACUUAAGCAGGAUGUGAAAUCCCCGGGCUCAACCCGGGAACUGCGUUCUGAACUGGGUGACUCGAGUGUGUCAGAGGGAGGUGGAAUUCCACGUGUAGCAGUGAAAUGCGUAGAGAUGUGGAGGAAUACCGAUGGCGAAGGCAGCCUCCUGGGAUAACACUGACGUUCAUGUCCGAAAGCGUGGGUAGCAAACAGGAUUAGAUACCCUGGUAGUCCACGCCCUAAACGAUGUCAAUUAGCUGUUGGGCAACUUGAUUGCUUGGUAGCGUAGCUAACGCGUGAAAUUGACCGCCUGGGGAGUACGGUCGCAAGAUUAAAACUCAAAGGAAUUGACGGGGACCCGCACAAGCGGUGGAUGAUGUGGAUUAAUUCGAUGCAACGCGAAGAACCUUACCUGGUUUUGACAUGUGCGGAAUCCUCCGGAGACGGAGGAGUGCCUUCGGGAGCCGUAACACAGGUGCUGCAUGGCUGUCGUCAGCUCGUGUCGUGAGAUGUUGGGUUAAGUCCCGCAACGAGCGCAACCCUUGUCAUUAGUUGCCAUCAUUCGGUUGGGCACUCUAAUGAGACUGCCGGUGACAAGCCGGAGGAAGGUGGGGAUGACGUCAAGUCCUCAUGGCCCUUAUGACCAGGGCUUCACACGUCAUACAAUGGUCGGUACAGAGGGUAGCCAAGCCGCGAGGCGGAGCCAAUCUCACAAAACCGAUCGUAGUCCGGAUUGCACUCUGCAACUCGAGUGCAUGAAGUCGGAAUCGCUAGUAAUCGCAGGUCAGCAUACUGCGGUGAAUACGUUCCCGGGUCUUGUACACACCGCCCGUCACACCAUGGGAGUGGGGGAUACCAGAAGUAGGUAGGGUAACCGCAAGGAGUCCGCUUACCACGGUAUGCUUCAUGACUGGGGUGAAGUCGUAACAAGGUAGCCGUAGGGGAACCUGCGGCUGGAUCACCU